GCUCACGUGGCUCAGGGGUAGAGCACUCCCUUGGUAAGGGAGAGGUCCCGAGUUCAAAUCUCGGCGUGAGCUCCA
rnacentral:tRNA from 1 species